AGUCAUGUAGUAAGUACAAAGCGAACUAUUCUUUCGCCUUUUACUAAAGAAUACCGUGUACUUACUACUUUAAAUGGCAUUCCUCUAUUUUUGGAGGUGACCUUUCCAAAGGUCCCU
rnacentral:snRNA from 1 species